GACGAACCGAGCGAACGUUGUUCGGAAUCACUGGGCUUAAAGGGCGCGUAGGCGGGCUGCCGCGUCCGGGGUGAAAUCCCACGGCUCAACCGUGGAACGGCCCCGGGUACGGGCGGCCUCGAGGAAGGUAGGGGCGUGCGGAACUGGUGGGUGGAGCGGUGAAAUGCGUUGAUAUCCACAGGAACUCCGGUGGCGAAGGCGGCACCGCUGGACCUUUUCUGACGCUGAGGCGCGAAAGCCAGGGGAGCGAACGGG
rnacentral:rRNA from 1 species